AUUAGAUGAGCCUAAGUCGGAUUAGCUAGAUGGUGGGGUAAAGGCUUACCAUGGCGACGAUCUGUAGCUGGUCUGAGAGGAUGAUCAGCCACACCNGGGACUGAGACACGGCCCGGACUCCUACGGGAGGCAGCAGUGGGGAAUAUUGGACAAUGGGGGCAACCCUGAUCCAGCCAUGCCGCGUGUGUGAAGAAGGCCUUUUGGUUGUAAAGCACUUUAAGCAGUGAAGAAGACUCCGUGGUUAAUACCCACGGACGAUGACAUUAGCUGCAGAAUAAGCACCGGCUAACUCUGUGCCAGCAGCCGCGGUAAUACAGAGGGUGCAAGCGUUAAUCGGAAUUACUGGGCGUAAAGCGAGCGUAGGUGGCUUGAUAAGUCAGAUGUGAAAUCCCCGGGCUUAACCUGGGAACUGCAUCUGAUACUGUUAAGCUAGAGUAGGUGAGAGGGAAGUAGAAUUUCAGGUGUAGCGGUGAAAUGCGUAGAGAUCUGAAGGAAUACCGAUGGCGAAGGCAGCUUCCUGGCAUCAUACUGACACUGAGGCUCGAAAGCGUGGGUAGCAAACAGGAUUAGAUACCCUGGUAGUCCACGCCGUAAACGAUGUCUACUAGUCGUUGGAUCCCUUGAGGACUUAGUGACGCAGCUAACGCAAUAAGUAGGCCGCCUGGGGAGUACGGCCGCAAGGUUAAAACUCAAAUGAAUUGACGGGGGCCCGCACAAGCGGUGGAGCAUGUGGUUUAAUUCGAUGCAACGCGAAGAACCUUACCUGGUCUUGACAUAUCUAGAAUCCUGCAGAGAUGCGGGAGUGCCUUCGGGAAUUAGAAUACAGGUGCUGCAUGGCUGUCGUCAGCUCGUGUCGUGAGAUGUUGGGUUAAGUCCCGCAACGAGCGCAACCCUUGUCCUUAGUUACCAGCGGGUUAAGCCGGGAACUCUAAGGAUACUGCCAGUGACAAACUGGAGGAAGGCGGGGACGACGUCAAGUCAUCAUGGCCCUUACGACCAGGGCUACACACGUGCUACAAUGGUAGGUACAGAGGGCAGCUACACAGCGAUGUGAUGCGAAUCUCAAAAAGCCUAUCGUAGUCCAGAUUGGAGUCUGCAACUCGACUCCAUGAAGUAGGAAUCGCUAGUAAUCGCGAUCAGAAGCCG
rnacentral:rRNA from 1 species